CCUACGGGUGGCAGCAGUGAGGAAUAUUGGUCAAUGGGCGGAAGCCUGAACCAGCCAAGUAGCGUGCAGGAUGACGGCCCUACGGGUUGUAAACUGCUUUUGUACAGGGGUAAAAUGCUCCACGUGUAGCGGUUUGUAAGUACGGUACGAAUAAGGAUCGGCUAACUCCGUGCCAGCAGCCGCGGUAAUACGGAGGAUCCGAGCGUUAUCCGGAUUCAUUGGGUUUAAAGGGUGCGUAGGUGGGUUGUUAAGUUAGCUGUGAAAUACUGAGGCUCAACCGCCGCAUUGCAUUUGAAACUGUUCGCCUGGAGUGUAGUUGAGGUAGGCGGAAUGUGUGGUGUAGCGGUGAAAUGCUUAGAGAUCACGAAGAACCCCGAUUGCGAAGGCAGCUUACCAAGCUGCUACUGACGUUGAGGCUCGAAAGUGUGGGUAUCAAACAGGAUUAGAUACCCCGGUAGUC
rnacentral:rRNA from 1 species